AACAUCCGACCCGAUAAACACUCCAUCACAUCCCAAUUGCAUAACCAGCCCCACGUCAGCCGGUGUCACAAUCCCCCCGGAGGCGAAUUGGACCACCGGCAGCCUCCCCAUUUGCUUCGUCUGCGCCACCAGAUCGUAUGGCGCAGCAAUGCUCUUGGAAAACGCGAAGACUUCAUCAUCGUCCAUAUUGUUCAGCAUUCUUAUCUGACUCAUGAUCGCCCGGACAUUCCGGACGGUCCGGGCCACAUUGCCCGACCCGGAUAAAUCUCCCUGGGUCCGAAUAAGCGCGGCCCCUUCUCUGAUCCGCCUCAGCGCGUCGCCGAGAGUCUCGGCGCCGCAGACGAAAGGGCACCGGAAAUUAUGCUUGUUGACGUAAUGAUCCUCGUCGGCGACGGCCAGGUACUCGCUCUCGUCGACAUAGUCAACACCGAUGGCUUCGAGGAUCUGGGCCUCGACGAAAUGGCCGACGCGGGAUCUGGCCAUGACGGGGAUGGAGACGGCGCGUUUGAUGGCCUUGACGAGGGAGGGAUCGGGCAUGCGGAGAAUGCCGGCGGCGGCGCCGCGGGGGGAGGAGACGAUGACGGAGCAGGCGCCGGCGUCCUCGGCGAGCUUGGCUUGAUCGGGGUUGGUGACUUCGACGAUGGCGCCGCCGCGGAGCAUCUGGGCGAGGCCGACCUUGAGGCUGUAGGGAUUCUUUUUCUUCGAGGCGUCGGCGACUGCGCCGCUGGUGUAGAUGGUGACUGCACCGUCCUGAGACGCCAUGGUUUGUGAUUUGUGAAGAUGGGUUGAGGAUUGAGAGAGAGAA
rnacentral:lncRNA from 1 species